rnacentral:rRNA from 1 species
AGAGCGGGAGCCCGGAGAUGGGCACUGAGACAAGGGCCCAGGCCCUACGGGGCGCAGCAGUUGCGAAAACUCCACAAUGCACGAAAGUGCGAUGGGGCUACCCCGAGUGCCGUCCGCUGAGGACGGCUUUUCCACGGUGUAAGGAGCCGUGGGAAUAAGGAGAGGGCAAGCCUGGUGUCAGCCGCCGCGGUAAUACCAGCUCUCCGAGUGGUGAGGACGAUUAUUGGGCUUAAAGCGUUCGUAGCCGGCUUAACAAGUCUUCCGUUAAAUCCAACGAUCUAAUCGUUGGGCCGCGGAAGAUACUGUUGAGCUAGGAGGCGGGAGAAGCCGACGGUAUUCUCGGGGUAGGGGUGAAAUCCUGUAAUCCCGGGAGGACCACCAGUGGCGAAGGCGGUCGGCU